rnacentral:rRNA from 1 species
AAAGGAAUAGACGGGGGCCCGCACAAGCGGUGGAGCAUGUGGUUUAAUUCGACGCAACGCGAAGAACCUUACCAAGGCUUGACAUCUACAGAAUCCUUGAGAGAUCAGGGAGUGCUCUUCGGAGAACUGUAAGACAGGUGGUGCAUGGUUGUCGUCAGCUCGUGUCGUGAGAUGUUGGGUUAAGUCCCGCAACGAGCGCAACCCCUAUAUUCAGUUGCCAGCACUUAGGGUGGGAACUCUGGAUAGACUGCCGGUGACAAACCGGAGGAAGGUGGGGAUGACGUCAAAUCAUCAUGCCCCUUAUGUCUUGGGCUACACACGUGCUACAAUGGGCAGUACAGACGGAAGCGAAGCCGCGAGGUGGAGCAAAUCCGAGAAAGCUGUUCGUAGUUCGGAUUGCAGGCUGCAACUCGCCUGCAUGAAGUCGGAAUCGCUAGUAAUCGCAGGUCAGCACACUGCGGUGAAUACGUUCCCGGGCCUUGUACACACCGCCCGU